rnacentral:rRNA from 1 species
UACAGAGGUCUCGAGCGUUAGGCGGAAUCACUGGGCUUAAAGCGUGUGUAGGUGGAUCGGUAAGUACCUUGUGAAAUCCCUCGGCUUAACCGGGGAACUGCGUCUGAUACUGGAUGGCUUGAGAUUGGGAGAGGGAUGCGGAAUUCCAGGUGUAGCGGUGAAAUGCGUAGAUAUCUGGAGGAACACCGGUGGCGAAGGCGACAUCCUGGACCAACACUGACGCUGAGGAGCGAAAGCCAGGGGAGCAAACAGG